UACGGAGGGUGCAAGCGUUAUCCGGAUUCACUGGGUUUAAAGGGUGCGUAGGUGGGCUGGUAAGUCAGUGGUGAAAUCUCCGGGCUUAACUCGGAAACUGCCAUUGAUACUAUCAGUCUUGAAUACCGUGGAGGUCAGUAGAAUAUGUCAUGUAGCGGUGAAAUGCUUAGAUAUGACAUAGAAUACCAAUUGCGAAGGCAGCUGGCUACACGAAUAUUGACACUCAGGCACGAAAGCGUGGGGAGCAAACAGG
rnacentral:rRNA from 1 species